AGAGAAAGGUGGCCCUUAACCCAAUAUGACCCAUGCACUUAUAAGAAAAGGGACAAUAUGAAGACAUACACACAGGGAGGACACCAUGGAAGGACAGAGCAGAGAUAUAAAUGAUACAGCUGCAAGCCAAGGAGCACCCACGAUUGCCGGCUACCAUCAGAAACUAGGGUGCACCAGUCUAUGGGAAUAAAGUCAUGGAAAAUACCCUCCAUUUUCCCUUAAUGUGCAAAUAUUCGUGGAAGAGAAAUACAGCAAAGAGAAAAGGCUAUUACAGAAAGAACCAUAAUAGACGUGAGGAGAGUACGCAGGGAGGAUAAACAACGCUGCCCAAAGAUUUGCAAAGACGUGUUCUUGCAGGAAGACUGAAGGUUCGCCAGUGGAACUUUCUCCUCCAUACUUGGGAAGGUGAAGAAGACAAUCCCGUUCUGGAGCCUAGAGCAGUGGUGGAGGCCUUGUCAUCCAUAGAAGACAAGUAUGUCUGGCAACAAGGUGAUCCCACAACAGUGAGAAAUGUGGCGACAAAGCUGCACUUUAUCCUGGCACUGUCAUCCUAUAAAACAGCUGCGGCUAAGAAACCUCCCACCCAUUCUUUGGUGUUCUGGGAAACAGCCUGCCGCAAAGUAACAUCCUUCUCCAAAUGACCUAAUGGUGAGAUGGAAGUAAGCCCCAAGUGGAAAAAUAUGUGGGACUCCAUUCUGAACACACGUUCAGAUGAGUUAGCAUCCUGGAGAAGCGUCAGAAAGAACAAGAGAAAAGUAUAAAGAAGGACAAUUAGGUCAGAAG